rnacentral:tRNA from 1 species
AGGAGAUAGUUUAAGUAGAAUAUCAGCUUUGGGUGUUGGUGGUGGAGUUUGAAUACUUCUCUCUUGA